GAUCAAAGUGUAGUAUCUGUUCUUAUCAGCUUAAUAUCUGAUACGACCUCCAUCGGGGGUCAAGAUAUUAAACUUAUUUUUGGCAUAAGGAGGAGAGUCUGAAGCUUGCUUCACCUCCACCAGGGGUCGAC
rnacentral:snRNA from 1 species